rnacentral:rRNA from 1 species
UACGGAGGGAGCUAGCGUUGUUCGGAAUUACUGGGCGUAAAGCGCGCGUAGGCGGCUUUGUAAGUUAGAGGUGAAAGCCCGGGGCUCAACUCCGGAACUGCCUUUAAGACUGCAUCGCUUGAAUCCGGGAGAGGUGAGUGGAAUUCCGAGUGUAGAGGUGAAAUUCGUAGAUAUUCGGAAGAACACCAGUGGCGAAGGCGACACACUGGCCCGAUACUGACGCUGAGGCGCGAAAGCGUGGGGAGCAAACAGG